rnacentral:rRNA from 1 species
GACGAACGCUGGCGGCGUGCUUAACACAUGCAAGUCGAACGGACAGGCCCUGCUUUUGUGGGGUGCUCGAGUGGCGAACGGGUGAGUAACACGUGAGUAACCUGCCCUUGACUUUGGGAUAACUUCAGGAAACUGGGGCUAAUACCGGAUAGGAGAUCCUGCUGCAUGGUGGGGGUUGGAAAGUUUCGGCGGUUGGGGAUGGACUCGCGGGUUAUCAGCUUGUUGGUGGGGUAGUGGCUUACCAAGGCUUUGACGGGUAGCCGGCCUGGGAGGGUGACCGGCCACAAGGCGACUGAGAGACGGCGCAGACUCCUACGGGAGGCAGCAGGGGGGAAUAUUGCACAAUGGGCGGAAGCGUGAGACAGAAAUGUCGCGUGCGGGAUGAUGGCCUUCGGGGGGUAAACCGCUUUCGCCGGUGACGAAGCGUGAGUGACGGUAAUGGGUAAAGAAGCACCGGCUAACUACGUG